AUUGAACGCUGGCGGAAUGCUUUACACAUGCAAGUCGAGCGGCAGCGCGGGGCAACCUGGCGGCGAGCGGCGAACGGGUGAGUAAUGCAUCGGAACAUGUGCAUGGAUGGGGGAUAGCCCGGCGAAAGCCGGAUUAAUACCGCAUGAGCCCGAGAGGGGAAAGUGGGGGACCGCAAGGCCUCACGUCGAUGGGUUGGCCGAUGCCCGAUUAGCUCGUUGGUGAGGUAAUGGCUCACCAAGGCGAUGAUCGGUAGCUGGUCUGAGAGGAAGAUGAGCCACACUGGGCCGGGGACACCGCCCAGACGCCUACGGGAGGCAGCAGUGGGGAAUUUUGGGCAAUGGGGGCAACCCUGAUCCCGCCAUUCCGCGUGAGUGUAGAAGGCCCUCGGGUUGUCAAGCACUUUUGUCCGAAGCGAAACGGGGCGCGUGAAUAUCGCGCUCUACUGACGGUACCGGAAGACUAAGCACCGGCUAACUACGUGCCAGCGGCCGCCGUAA
rnacentral:rRNA from 1 species